UACGAACUGUGCGAACGUUAUUCGGAAUCACUGGGCUUAAAGGGUGCGUAGGCGGCUUUUCAAGUCAGGUGUGAAAGCCCCCGGCUCAACCGGGGAAUUGCGCUUGAAACUGGAGAGCUCGAGUCAGCUAGAGGUGCACGGAACUUCCAGUGGAGCGGUGAAAUGUGUUGAUAUUGGAAGGAACACCGGAGGCGAAAGCGGUGCACUGGGGCUGGUCUGACGCUGAGGCACGAAAGCCAGGGGAGCGAACGGG
rnacentral:rRNA from 1 species